UGUGAAGAACUUAAGCCAUACGAAAGACUUUUUGACGAGGAUGUUUUGGCAACAUAUCCUAAUCUAUGUGGGGAGGAACUUGAAGGAAUGAAGGAACAACAUUAUGCAUCUUGGCUACGAGACUACAUUCAAUCAUGUAGUGAUAGAAUUCCGGCAUGGAUCAGAGAUAUAUCACAUGGACCUGGGAGAAAAGUCAUUUGCUGGCCGAUAAUGUUCACCCGAGGAUACACGUUUCACACUUACGAUCAUGGAAAACAUAAAUCCACGUUCAAUUACGGAGUUUGUAUAAAAAACGGGUCAUCUGAAGAUCCUGAUUUCUUUGGGGUUCUUCGGCAG